rnacentral:lncRNA from 1 species
CAGGACCAUGUCCCUGGUGCUUCCCUCCAUGCUCUGUCUUGGAGAGUCUGAGAGAGAAGGGCCCAGCUACAAAUACAGGCUCCAGGUGGCAGGUCCAUCGGUUCUAGGAGGCUGGGGUGUCUCACCCACUGUUUCCUUCCAGGGAUGUGUCUAGGCCAGAGCACUCAGGCGCAGAAGGGAAAUCUCCCACGACCUCUUCUCAUGGCUCUACCAGGAUCUACGGUUCCACCUGGGAAUCCAGUGAUGAUCCUGUGCAGAGGGCCUCAGAAGCUGAAGCAUAUGCGCUAUCUAGAGUGAGAAGCCCUGAGCCCUCAGAUAGAGAGAAGCAACUGCUGUCUAAGACGUCCAACACUUAGAGUAUCUCAGAGAUGACGCCAUACUGGGCAGGGUUGUACCACUGUUCCUAUCAAAGUGUAGGCAGCUGGUCCCAGUUCAGUGACCCCCUGCAACCAGUGAUGACUAGUGAGUAGGACACAAGGGCAGCACAACCAGGACUGACCUCUUUGCAGAGGGAAGAACCAGACGUUGCAGAUAUGAAGCACAGAGGACCAAAACCUCUAUCCUUAGAAAGGGUUAGGGAUGAUGCAGACACAGAUUCCUCACAGCAGGACAAGGAGGGGAUAGAAACCAGAGCCAUGUCUACUCUGGGGGAACAAAAAGGGACAAUGCAUACAUGUGGCCCAGCCCUUUAUCUACAAGCUUCCUUCUUUCUCAGGAGCUUAUGAGAAACCCUUCCUCUCAAGCAUGACUGGUAUCAUGGUGCCUUCAGGGAAGAAUGAGAAGUUGCGGUGUUUCUCAACACUCAAGUUUGAUGCAUCUAUUCUUAUGAAGAAAGAUGGAGUUCACACCAUCCAGAACCAAAUCUCCACCUCUGAGGGUGGUGGACACCAGGCUGUGUUCCUCUUGAAUCAUGUCUCCUCCACACAAACUGGGACCUACAGAUGCUAUGGUGUCUUCGGUCAUUACCCUUAUGUGUGGUCUCACCCCAGUGACCGAUUGCAGCUUUGGGUCACAGCCCCAUAUGCAGAAGCUUCUGACCAUCCUGUUCCCACAAGCCCCAGACCUUCACCUGGUGAGUAACUGAUGAUCUUUGUAGAAGGAGCAGGGCAGGUAGAGGGAACAGCAGAUGCAAAAAUCAUGAGGUGGAGAGAAGCUUCACAUGCCCAAAGAGUGUCAAGGGGCACAGUCCCUGUUUGCUGAGUCCAUGGCUUAUCACAGGGAAAUAGCAAGGAAAGAGCAGGCAGGGCUCCAAUGGGGCAACUGGAGGCACCCUGUUCCCCACUGCUGUCUUUCUUGACCCCAGAUUCCCUGAUGGGAUCACCACUGUGGCCACAAUCAAAGGAGGAAUGAAAGGUAAGUAAGUGCUUGUCCAGUUCGGGGUUUGCUGGGCAGGCUACAUGCCAAGCCAGUAGACUGGAGAAAUGGGCUCGGGUUUGGGGGUAUGUUAGCAGAAUGGGCCUUGGUGCCUCUUCUGUAACCUUCUCUCCUUUUUCUCGCAGAACCUGCUGCCUGGCAUCUUUCUGCAGAGAAUCAAGUCCGGCUGAGCAUGGCUGGCCUGAUUCUCUUGGUCCUGGGGGUGCUCUUGGCUGAGGCCUGGUACAGCCGGAAGAUGCCCUUAAAUGGACACAGACAAGCCCCCACCUGAGUGUAAUGACAGCACCGAUGUCCUUCUAUUGGCAUCUAAUGACUGUGUGGACCCUGGGGGAGCAGCCAGAGGAGAUAGUGCCCUGGCCAUGUCACCUACUGAGAUAUCGGAGAAGACUUGUUUCUUGUUGAAUCUGUAACAACCUACCCCAGACACUUCGGUUUAAAGCAACACCAAUUCAUUCUCUUUUCAUUCUAGGGAGCAGGAGUCUAAAAAGUGUCUGCAGGCCUGCAUUCCUCUUUUAGCGUCUGGUCUGUGUUCCUGCCUUUUCUGUUUCUGGGCUCCGCCUGCAUUCCUUGCCUUCUGGAUCCCUCCUCCAUCUCCAAACCCACCAGUGUAGCAUCUUCUCUCCUCUCUGACCUCUGCUUCCUUCCCGCCUUCUUCUCUCUCUUGCUCCCACCCUCCUGCUUCCCUCUUAUAAGGACCCUUGUGGUGACAUUGGGCCUAAGAAGAUAAUCCAGGAUAAUCUCUCAGUUUCCAGAGUCUCGUCUUCCUCACAUCACAAUGUCCCUUAGCCGUGUCAGGUCCCACUCACAGUUCUGGGAAUUAGACGAGCACAACUUGAGGGGGACCAUUCAGCCGACCUCCAGUAGCUCAGUACAUCUGACCAUAGCGCAGGGCUGUGCUUGCACUUGUGCACUAACUCCUGGGGGAGACGUGGGGAUUGAAUAUUUAAUACUCUUUAGAAUUUAAAACAGGACAUGAUCUAAAUAGAGAGGGAGAGAUGCUUAACGAAUCCUGCUUCUGUAUGUCACAAUGUGUAAGUUCCUGACUUAUUGUACUUGAGGGGAGAAAACUUGGUCUAGGAAUAGAAAUGCUGAUUUUUUCAAUAGCGUCCUUUACUUUUACUUUAAAGGAUAUACAAAGCAAAUGUAAAAGUAUGAACGUUUAUGUUGGUGUGUUUGUUUCACGAUUUAAGUAACACCGAUGUUUGUGAUGUUAGCCAUUGUUCCAGUUUGGGGUUUAUUUUUGUUUUUUCUGAAAAGGAACAUCUUUUUUUUUUCUGUUUUUUUGAGGAAGAUUAGCCCUGAGCUAACUACUGCCAGUCCUCCUCUUUUUGCUGAGGAAGCCUUGCCCUGAGCUAACAUCCGUGCCCAUCUUCCUCUACUUUAUAUGUGGGAAGCCUGCCACAGCAUGGCGUGCCAAGCUGUGCCAUGUCCGCACCCUGGAUCCAAACCAGCGAACUCUGGGCCGCCGAGAAGAGGAACGUGCGUACUUAACCACUGCACCACCGGGCCAGCCCCUGAAAAGGAACGUCCUUAAAAGCAUGACACUAAAACAACAGACUCAACAGAAUGGUUAAAUCUGACUCCUGUUAUAGUUGAGUGGAUGAAAUCAUUCUGGAACUUCUUAGCUCCAAUCUACUGAAGUAAAGAAUAAAUAUCCUCACACUUAAACCAGGUGGACACUGUGCUCUGUAGAGACAUGGAGAUACUAAGUUCCAUCACUUGCCCUUUGGUCUCAUCUCUGCCCUGUGAUUAGAUUCUCGAAGAGCUCUCUGCUACCGGCUGCUGUUCC